rnacentral:pre_miRNA from 1 species
GAUUUCAACUGAAAAAGUCAUCAACAACAAAGUUGUAUAACUCAUCAUGAUCUAUAACUUUUAUUUUGGUCAUUUCUUCAUCCGACAAAGUGAUAGUAAAAUUUUUCAUAAAUUUUACAUAUCUCUCGUAUGAUUUUAUAAUCUAUAAGAGAGAUAUGCAAAUUUUAUAAACAAUGUUACUGUCAUUUUGUUGGAUGAAUAAAUGACCAAAAUAAAAGUUGUAUAUCUUGAUGAGUUCUACAACUUUUAUGUUCAUGACUUUUUCAGCUGAAAUU